rnacentral:rRNA from 1 species
AGAGUUUGAUCCUGGCUCAGGAUGCCCUCUAGCGGCAGGCUUAACACAUGCAAGUCGAGGGGCAGCGUGAAGGUUAGCAAUAACCUUUGACGGCGACCGGCGCAAGGGUGCGUAACGCGUGAGCAACUUGCCCGUUUCAGGGGGAUAACCGGUGGAAACGCCGACUAAUACCCCAUGGUGAUACCGAGAGGCAUCUUUUGGUAUCUAAAGAUACGUCGGAAACGGAUAGGCUCGCGUGACAUUAGCUUGAUGGCGGGGUAACGGCCCACCAUGGCGACGAUGUCUAGGGGUUCUGAGAGGAAGGUCCCCCACACUGGAACUGAGACACGGUCCAGACUCCUACGGGAGGCAGCAGUGAGGAAUAUUGGUCAAUGGUCGGAAGACUGAACCAGCCAUGCCGCGUGAAGGUGACGGCCCUAUGGGUCUUAAACUUCUUUUGCAAGGGAGCAAUAAGGGUCACGCGUGGCCCGAUGAGAGUACCUUGCGAAUAAGCAUCGGCUAACUACGUGCCAGCAGCCGCGGUAAUACGUAGGUGGCAAGCGUUGUCCGGAAUUACUGGGUGUAAAGGGCGUGUAGGCGGGAUGUUAAGUCAGAUGUGAAAUACCCGGGCUCAACUUGGGUGCUGCAUUUGAAACUGACAUUCUUGAGUGCAGGAGAGGAAAGCGGAAUUCCUAGUGUAGCGGUGAAAUGCGUAGAUAUUAGGAGGAACACCAGUGGCGAAGGCGGCUUUCUGGACUGUAACUGACGCUGAGGCGCGAAAGCGUGGGGAGCAAACAGAAGUAGAUACCCUGGUAGUCCACGCUGUAAACGACCCUACAAGGUGUGGGAGGUAUCGACCCCUUCCGUGCCGCAGUUAACACAAUAAGUAAUCCACCUGGGGAGUACGGCCGCAAGGGUGAAACUCAAAGGAAUUGACGGGGGCCCGCACAAGCAGUGGAGUAUGUGGUUUAAUUCGAAGCAACGCGAAGAACCUUACCAGGGCUUGACAUGGGGAUGACAGGUGCAGAGAUGUGCUUUCUCUUCGGAGCAUCCCACACAGGUGGUGCAUGGUUGUCGUCAGCUCGUGUCGUGAGAUGUUGGGUUAAGUCCCGCAACGAGCGCAACCCCUACGUUUAGUUGCUACGCAAGAGCACUCUAGACGGACUGCCGUUGACAAAACGGAGGAAGGUGGGGACGACGUCAAAUCAUCAUGCCCCUUAUGUCCUGGGCUACACACGUACUACAAUGGCGGCAAACAGAGGGCAGCGAAACCGCGAGGUGGAGCGAAUCCCCAAACGCCGUCCCAGUUCGGAUUGCAGGCUGCAACUCGCCUGCAUGAAGUCGGAAUUGCUAGUAAUCGCGGAUCAUCAUGCCGCGGUGAAUACGUUCCCGGGCCUUGCACACACGGCCCGUCA